AGCGAACGCUGGCGGCAGGCCUAACACAUGCAAGUCGAACGAACCUUUCGGGGUUACUUGCGGACGGGGGAGUAACACGGGGGAACGUUCCGUUAGGCACGGGAUAACACAGGGAAACGUGUGCUAAUACCGAAUGAGCCAUUCUGGGGCAGGAUUUGUCGCCUUUAGUACGGCCCGGGUCUGCUUAGCUAGUUGGGUGUGGUAAUGGCUCACCAAGGUGACCAUGAGGAGCUGGUCAGGGAGGAUGAACACCCACAUUGGGACUGGGCCACAGCCCAAACUCCUACGCGAUGCAGCAGUGGGGAAUCUUGCGCAACGGGGGGAAGCAUGACGGAGCCCUGCCGCGUGAAUGAUGAAGUUGUUAGGAUUGUACAAUUCUUUCACCGGGGACGAUAAUGACGGUACCCGGAGAAGAAGCCCCGGCUAACUUCGUG
rnacentral:rRNA from 1 species